GGUGAACGCUGGCGGCGUGCCUAACACAUGCAAGUCGAGGGGCAACGGGGCGUAGCAAUACGCUGCCGGCGACCGGCGGAUGGGUGAGUAACGCGUAUGCAACCUGCCUUCAGCAGGGGGAUAGCCCGUUGAAAGACGGAUUAAUACCCCAUAACACAGGGGCUCCGCAUGGAGAUUAUUGUUAAAGGGAUGCUUCCUUCGGGGGUAUUCCGGCUGAAGAUGGGCAUGCGUUCCAUUAGGUAGUUGGUUGAGGUAACGGCUCACCAAGCCUGCGAUGGAUAGGGGAACUGAGAGGUUGGUCCCCCACACUGGUACUGAGACACGGACCAGACUCCUACGGGAGGCAGCAGUGAGGAAUCUUGGUCAAUGGACGGAAGUCUGAACCAGCCAUGUCGCGUGAAGGAGGACGGCCCUAAGGGUUGUAAACUUCUUUUGCAGCGGAAUAAAGUAUUCCACGUGAUGGGAUAUUGCAAGUACGCUGCGAAUAAGGAUCGGCUAACUCCGUG
rnacentral:rRNA from 1 species